AUACGGAGGGUGCAAGCGUUGUUCGGAAUUACUGGGCGUAAAGCGUGUGCAGGCGGCCGGAUUAGUCAUAUGUGAAAGCCCUCGGCUCAACCGAGGAAGUGCAUGUGAUACUGUCUGGCUUGAGUCCUGGAGAGGGGUGUGGAAUUCCCGGUGUAGAGGUGAAAUUCGUAGAUAUCGGGAGGAACACCAGUGGCGAAGGCGACACCCUGGAUGGAGACUGACGCUGAUACACAAAAGCGUGGGGAGCAAACAGGAUUAGAAACCCCAGUAGUCC
rnacentral:rRNA from 1 species